UACGUAGGGACCAAGCGUUGUUCGGAUUUACUGGGCGUAAAGGGCGCGUAGGCGGCGCGGUAAGUCACUUGUGACAUCUCUGAGCUUAACUCAGAACGGCCAAGUGAUACUGCAGUGCUAGAGUGUGGAAGGGGCAAUCGGAAUUCUUGGUGUAGCGGUGAAAUGCGUAGAUAUCAAGAGGAACACCUGAGGUGAAGACGGGUUGCUGGGCCAACACUGACGCUGAUGCGCGAAAGCCAGGGGAGCAAACGGG
rnacentral:rRNA from 1 species